rnacentral:tRNA from 1 species
UGGGGUGCAGCUCAGUGGUGGAGCACUUGCCUGGCAUGCGUGAGACCCUGGGGUUGAUCCCCAGCACUGCAG